rnacentral:tRNA from 1 species
GGGCCCGUAGCUUAGUGGCAGAGUAUCCGGUUUGCAUCCGGAAGACAGGGGUUCGACUCCCCUCGGGUCCACCA